UCGAGCUGCAGCUCUGAAGAACCCUAGUUCAACAACUUCAAACCCUUAUAACCAGAUCGAUCACAGGACCACCAUCAAUCUCUUCACUUCUCAAAACCCCAUCUCAGAUUCAAAAGCAAACCCUAGUCUCUUCUUCAACUGACUUCUUCUUAAUCAAUAGCACAAAGUCAUCAAAAUCAGCUUCAGAUCCCCUUUAAAAAAGUCGAUUGAACCACAGCAACCCUAAUUUGAUCUGCAGGUGAAUGACACAAUUGGCACAUUAUUUCGGGGUACUUCAAUAAUGACGUCAUUGCUGCUGUGAUAUUGGGUACUGGAACAAAAGAAGCAUAUAUGGAGCGUGCACAUGCGAUUCCCAAGUGGCAUGGACUUUUACCCAAAUCAGAAGAGAUGGAGGUUAUCUUAACUUUGUUUUCUAUCAUAAUUUAUUCUGCUCUUGUUUUCUGAAUUUUUUUUUUUAUAUCUGGUUACUGGAACACACAUUGUUCUUCAUUUACUUUGUCUUUUUGAAUGGAAAUCACUGACCUGCUGGAAAGGGGAAACUUCUCACAUCUUCCUCUAACAGAAUAUGAUCAUUCUUUGGAUCCCGAGAGUCUAAAUGUUGGUGAUCAGGUAAUAUUUUAACUGUAAUUUAUACUCUGAUCAACAUUUUUUUCACUCGUCAUCCAUUUCCAUAAUAUACAUGUGGUGCUCGUGUCUCCGCUGAAGAGAAAUGGUUAUUAUUGCACACGACGUCGAAUCGUUGAUUUCAUUGAGCUUGUUGUCUGGCUUCCACCAUCUUGUUGUCUGGCUUCCAGUAGCUUGUUGUCUGGCUUCCAGCAUUAUGCCGUAAAAUGGAAAUCCCAUAUGCCAUAAUUUAGUUAAGGACCUGAGAACGAUGAACAAGGGAAGCCAGGUGCGUAGGUUUACAGUUGCAUGAAUUUCAUCUGAAAAUUUCGCUUUGUCAUUCUUCUACAAUUCAUAUAUAUAUUUCUUAGAUUAUUAUUUCGUUAUCACAUUGGUUACCAAUUCCCUAGACUAUUCAGCAUAUCAUCGACUAGGCUUUGUUGCUCCAGACUAAGGAGGCCUUAUUCUUCUUCCACUAAAUUUGUAUUUCUAUAAGUUAAUGCUGCUCAUUACAUAUGUAUUACCAUUGCGGUACUUUCAAGAUUAGCAUUGCCUCCGAAAGUUGUUGAAAGGUAUGUUAUUUUUCUGAGCUUUUGAAGUCUUGCUAAAGAAACCAAGUUUUGAUGGUAAUUUAUUUCUAUUUUGUCUCUCUUUUGGUUAUGCUUUUAGGUAUUGCGACAGUGACAAAUGUGUCUGGAAGCACUCACAAAUUACUGAUAAUGUUUUUUUAUUGGAACUGUUAUCUCCAAGCAAAUAAAUUUUCCAAUUUGCACAUUGGAAUAUAUAUGUACACAAUAAUGAUUUGCUUCAUAUGUCUACACUGGAAAUAAUUGUGUAGAUGGUGCGGCUCCAAGGGCAAAGAUGAACCAGCAAAAAAGCUUCUAGAGAUACACAAAAAGCAGUAAGUGUUUUUACAUAUACAGUAGUAGCAAAUAUAGUAGGAAUGGAAACCCUGCUCAGAAAAAGAAGUACUUACUCAAGGUUUGGUUUCUGCUUUAAAAACACCAACGCACUUUGGAAUGUAGUGUUUCUUUGCUUGAGUAAUUUACACGAACUAAACUGUGUGCUAUCUGUUGAACGUGAAGUUGAUCAGUGAGGAACACGUUGGAGCUUUGGCUAUGAGUGAACCCAAUGCUGGAUCUGAUGCUGUUAGCAUGAAAUGCAAAGCUGAUCGCGUAGAUGGUGGUUAUGUUAUUAAUGGAAACAAGAUGUGGUGCACAAAUGGCCCAGUUGCUCAAACAUUGGUAUUUGGGCUUCAGUCAAAAAGCAGUACUCUGGUGAUAUUUAAGCAGCAGCUGAAUCUACGUAAGCGGAGUCUCGGGAUGCUUCUGGUGAUAUUUUAGUCUUUGUUUCCCUGUUUCUCAAUGCCUCUGUCAGUUGACACAAACUAGGUUGUCCAUCCAUUUAUGAACAUCAACAUAGAUCGAAUAUUGUAUGUCAGUCACAAAAUUUUGGGUUCAGUAAGUUUACUUGUGCACAUUUCUUUUGUAAUAUCAUCUAAUGGUGGUUCUCAAUAAUACAGUUUUGCAUCUCCAUUGUAGUUUGUA